AGGAUAGUCCUGGAAAUGAUCUUGAUGCUAUCUGUUCCUCGUUACAGCAGACCUGCUCAACUUCAGCAGCUAGAAGGAGGAUUGUCUUUCACCAGCUGCAGGAGCCUGUUCCCACUACAAGCCUGGUGGAGUCUUCGGAGCAGAUGUGACUGUCCUACUUGUAUAGAGAAGAGAAACUGAGGCUCAGAAGAGAUGCCUGGCUGAGUUUAAUAGGACUGCAACAACAAUUUUGCCUUUCUACUUUCUGCUCACCGAAGAAGACAGGAAAACUUGUCAGAUGGGGAAGGAUGUGUCAAGAGCAUGCACACAGAUUUACUCUUCAGCUAGAAGCUCCAAUUCCUAGAUGAUCUGAAUCCAACUCAGAGUGCUUGCACCUGUUUCCUGCCACACAGCUAGAGCUGAAGUGCCUUUCAUGUCCCACCAUGAUUCUGAGGACCCCCCCAGCCAUAUGGAACUUGUCCCUCUAGGUUCUCUGAUUGGCUGAAGCUACUCUAAGCCAAGAGAUCAAAGAAGCUGAUAAUGUAGAAUGUAAGUUUGUCUCCUGGGCCACAAUGGAAAGCAGAGACUGUAGCUGGAGGAGUGAAUAGAGGAUAUGCAGCUCUGGUAAUUCUCAGUACAAUUCCCAGUGGUCCACUCUGCAGAAUGAACCAAGUUCCAUUUUGCCCAACUUCUGGCAGUCCACAUUUGGACUGUGAGCUCACCUACAGAUAAAUCGUACGUGGAUUGAUGCAGUAACUGGAUUUGUAGCUGCUAAAUCUUAUUUAAGUGAGGACCUGUCCAGUACAUGUGAAGACCACCCAUCCACUGAAAGUGAUAAGUGAAGCUGAAUCAAUACUAGACUGAAUCAAUACUGAGCUGAAUCAAUACUUUCCCAAUUUUGAGGAAAUCUUGGAAAAUCUCUGAGAAAUGUGGUAGUAAUUAUUUUGAAGAAUUGGAAAACUUUAUAGCUGAUUAUGCUAUGUGUGGAAGAUACAACAGGAUUAUAAGAGAGAGAAGACAAUAUCCUUGCUGUGUCCAGAAGGCUUUAGCCGGGGUGUCCUACUGAGAGAUGACAAACUUAAGGUUUUUCUCUUCCCAGACAUUACUGGACAACUAGCUAUGUAAUUAGGUCUUAUGCCGAAAAGACUGAAAGGAAAACAUCUCAGAUCUAGGAAUGUGAUCAAGAAAGAAGGCUGGUUAAAGAAUAACAUGGGGAAAAUGAAUGCAGUGAAAUGGUUCACGCACAAGUUCUAGGAAUUCAGAGUGCAACAGCAGAAAUGCGAUUUUUGUUAGAUAUUUCAGAAAGUGAUGUGAGUCCCUGAGGUCAUACUGCAGCGUUCAGGUUCUGUUUGGCCUCCUGCACGAAGCUUUCCUUGAUUGGAAAAGCUGCAUACUCUGAAGCACAUCGCAUGUGUCCUGUCUGUAGUUCAUUUCAUUUCCCCAGAUUUGUUAUCAUCCACCAUCACUCAUACAAGCCUACCUUCUUCAUGCCAACCUUUGUAAUCUUUCUACCUUGCUAACCUGGUCAUGUCAAGGACCAGCUAAUAAAUAGCAAAGUUGUACCUUGAGCCAAGGUAUCUUGACUCUUAGUCCAGUGCUCUUUAUAUACCUCUGAAGUCUUAUUUGAGCUUCAAAAUUAUGAGUCUGUGCUCUCAAGAUUUUUUUGAAAAUG
ensembl:lncRNA novel transcript